CUCAGAUCAGGAAGAGUCGGACCGCGAUAUUUUCGGUCAGUCAUCCUAAAUAUUUGGAUAUUCGGUCGCAGAUUCCUUGUAUCGGCUAAGGUGAAUUUUGUUUGAAAAUCCGCUGCGUAUAUUUCGGAACAUUAAAUCGUGGGCCUCGGUUAUCGUAUUUGUGUGAGUUUUUGGCUGACCUCUUCACGAAUUUUCCUUAAAAUCUACCGAAGAAAGAAUCAAUCACGUCAACAAACAUUACCAGGUGAUCUUGAAAUCACAUGCGAGUUAGAGAUCGUGAAGCAACGCGAUCGGACUUCGUCGAGGAGGUGCCGAUAUCUGUAGACUAUGUGGAUUGCUGAGAUCGAGAGGCAACACGGUCGGGCUUCGUCAAGGAGGAAGGGAUGUAAGUAGAAUCUUCAUCAAUAUGGAAAUUAACGCAGCUCUCUUCUCCCACCAAGUAGUAAGUGAACAUUCAGAAUACUAUUUCCUUUUUUAUUACGUAGAAAAUGUAGAAAUUUUUGACGAGUACAGUGACCAAAGAAUUGCCCGGCAAUCCUUUGAGUGGUAAUCUGUUUCCUAGUUAGGUAGGGUCUUUUUGCAUGUCGUGAUUUCCUGCGAUUGUUUCAGGUUCUAAUGAUUUUAUUUCGAAACUGCCAAAGAAUUAAUCUUAUACAAUACGCGAUUAUCAUAAUACGAAUGUUAGAAAAAUUAAAUUGGUGCAUUUGCUGCAUCAGUGUAUCGAAUAACUUUGUGUUCCGCCUAAUUACAUUAGAGACCACGUGCAAAAAGACGUUUCCCAGUAGGUAUAAAUCGUAUUUUAUUAAAAUCCAAAAUAAUAGAGUUUCUUAUUCGUUACGAAAAUUCUUAUUAAACGUUUUUGAAAUUAUUUUUAUGAAAUUAUUAUUAAGUAGACACAUUUUUCAAUGAAUUGGAAGAAUCUUAACCCGAGAAACUAACGACUCUUUUUAGAUAGGAUUUUCAGAGAUCCGAGGUUCCAUGUUCGUUGCUCGAAUCCUUCCGAGUACCCAAGCGUUACUCGAGAGGGUGCGAGCAAUGGCACAUGGAACGGUAUUUAAUAAUAAUAGCGACUGACAAUGACUAGCGUAUCGUACACGACGUAAUUUUCACUUGUGUGUGUGUGGUUAGGCAGUGGAUUUUACGUCGUUUUUUGAAAUCGAAACUAGUUCAAAUCGAAUAUAUUCUAUGUAUACGAUCCAUGUCAUGCAACGUGGAUCGGUAUGGAAUAUAUGCACAGAAUGCACAUAAUGUUCAUUUUCUAUUCUUAUGGGAGGAAAUUAAUGAAUAAAAGCUCACAAGAGUCUUGAUAAAUUCAACUUUACCGAUAUGGUAUUUAUUCAGAAAUACCAUGAAGAAAGUAACUUUCGAUUAGAAUUUGAUUAAAUCGCAAUGAUCGCUACGAUUGUCAGUCGAUUUCAGGAACUAACGUAUAGCUUAUAACGGAAACGAAUGAUUAUGUUGGAGUGCAGAGGCGUCCCGGGACGUUCUCCGUGUAGGAAACAGCACCUCAACGUAUGAGUGAGAACCGUGGAGUGAAUGUGUUGGUGUGAUCGCUUUGCUAUUUUUUAAAUAUAGCAUUAGGCAGGAUAGGUAACUUGCUUUCACGGAGUGUGUGAAUUGUUAGGUAGGGCUGGGGCUGACUAUCGUUCUCUGUUCGGGUAGAUCGCGAAUC